CUGCCUUGCAGAAGGUCAGCCCAACACAAACGGCACCAGACGACAAGAAGUGAUGGAACUCAGCCCUCCAAACUGCUGUCCUACAAAGAAGAUGCUGGCACCAGACCUGCUGAUUGCAGUGGCCCUUUCCACACAGACCUGGGGACACAGGCAGCCCCACGCGGCCAUGGAAAUGGCUGGCAGAGCAGCAACCCGGUGAGCAGGGCUGUGCAGGGGAGAGCAGCACAGGGAAGCAGGGCAGGAGGCUGCUCCUUUCUUCCUUCCUCCCCCUCUGCCUUGCAGAUGGACAGCCCAACAGGCUGUCAGGACCUUCAGUACUGCACACGUCAGCGCCUCCAGGAUCCACACGGAUUGUGUGAAAUAGAACUCUGAAGAUGAGGACGGAACCAGAGGCUAAAAGGGAUGGAUGGGCCCCAUGCAGAAAUACCACAGACACCACAUCCAGAAGAGAAGGAAGCACCGUAACCGAGCGCUGCUGAGACCGGGAUGGAAAUUUAGGAGCCACAAAGACUGUCAGCCUUCCUGCCUCGAGCCCCAGAUGACCACCGAGUAGCUAGCACACAGUUAAAGACUAAUUGAACAACCUUCAGAAUAAACUUUCUCAUUCCUCA